rnacentral:rRNA from 1 species
CGCGUAGGCGGUGCGGUAAGUCACCUGUGAAACCUCCGGGCUCAACUCGGAGCCUGCAGGCGAAACUGCCGUGCUGGAGUGUGGGAGGGGUGCGUGGAAUUCCCGGUGUAGCAGUGAAAUGCGUAGAGAUCGGGAGGAACACCUGUGGCGAAAGCGGCGCACUGGACCACAACUGACGCUGAGGCGCGAAAGCUAGGGGAGCAAACAGGAUUAGAUACCCUGGUAGUCCCAGCCCUAAACGAUGGAUGCUUGGUGUAGCCGGUACCCAAUCCGGCUGUGCCGCAGCUAACGCGAUAAGCAUCCCGCCUGGGGAGUACGGUCGCAAGGCUGAA